UGGGGGAUAUUGCACAAUGGGCGAAAGCCUGAUGCAGCGACGCCGCGUGGGGGAUGAAGGCUUUCGGGUUGUAAACCUCUUUCGCUAUCGAACAAGGCCCGCUUAGGGUGGGUUGAGGGUAGGUUGAGAAGAAGCGCCGGCUAACUACGUGCCAGCAGCCGCGGUAAUACGUAGGGCGCGAGCGUUGUCCGGAAUUCUUGGGCGUAAAGGGCUUGUAGGCGGCUUGUUGCGCCUGCUGUGAAAACGCGGGGCUUAACUUCGAGCGUGAAGUGGGUACGGGCAGGGUUGAGUGUGGUAGGGGUGACUGGAAUUCCAGGUGUAGCGGUGGAAUGCGAAGAUAUCUGGAGGAACACCGAUGGCGAAGGCAGGUCACUGGGCCAUUACUGACGCUGAGGAGCGAAAGCAUGGGUAGCGAACAGG
rnacentral:rRNA from 1 species